CCACUGUUUAGUUGAAAAAUUGAGAUAUGAUUGUAUUCUCUUAUGCAUGUUUGUUUGCUUAUGUGAUUAUGGUUGAUUUGGAAAAUGGAGACUAACGGAAAACGAAAAAGUUGUGUGGGAAAAUGAAUAGAUGAAGACAGCAGCCUUACUGAAUAUCUUAAGAGAUGGUGGACGACCCGGGUACAUAGGGAACCCUACCGUGAACGUUAUCUCAUACCGGACGGGAUAUGGAGACAUGAUAAUUUAGUGCUCAUACCGGACAGGAUAUGGGGACGGCCC
rnacentral:lncRNA from 1 species